rnacentral:lncRNA from 1 species
CUACGGACAAAUUCAGCAACACAAACCGGAAGAACAUUUCCCCUAAUCAAAUAUCAAAAGCUAGGUUCUUGAUUUUCCGUACGAUAAGGAUCCUGAUUUGUAUAUCAAUCAACCUGGCUCUGAUGCCAAUUGUUAGGUCCAAAGUAUCGUAGAAGGGGGGGUUGAAUACGAUACUCACUACAAUUUAAAAUUCUUUCGAAUCUUGCGGAUAAACAAAUUGCAGUUCUGUAAUGGGUUUCGUGUUCCGGAUAUUUAUUGGGUC